AUUGAACGCUGGCGGCAGACCUAACACAUGCAAGUCGAACGAGUGGCGGACGGGUGAGUAAUGUCUGGGCAACUGCCCGAUGGAGGGGGAUAACUACUGGAAACGGUAGCUAAUACCGCAUACCAUCGGAUGUGCCCAGAUGGGCUUAGCUAGUAGGUGGGGUAACGGCCCACCGAGGCGACGAUCCCUAGCGGGUCUGAGAGGAUGACAGUCCACACUGGGACUGAGACACGGUCCAGACUCCUAAGGUAGGCAGCAGUGGGGAAUAUUGCACAAUGGGCGCAAGCCUGAUGCAGCCAUGCCGCGUGUAUGAAGAAGGCCUUCGGGUUGUAAAGUACUUUCAGCGGGGAGGCGUUACCCGCAGAAGAAGCACCGGCUAACUCCGUGCCAGCAGCCGCGGUAAUUC
rnacentral:rRNA from 1 species